GAGAAAGUAAGUAAGAGCGCAUGGCGGAUGCCUAGGCUCUCAGAGGCGAUGAAGGACGUGAUAAGCUGCGAUAAGCUACGGGUAUUAGCACAUAUGAAUUGAUCCGUAGAUUUCCGAAUGGGGCAACCCAGCUACUUGAAGAGUGGUUAUCCCGACUUGUCGGGAGGCGAACCCGGAGAACUGAAACAUCUAAGUACCCGGAGGAAGAGAAAACAAUUAGUGAUUCCGUUAGUAGUGGCGAGCGGACGCGGAACAGCCCAAACCAGAUUAGUUACGGCUAGUCUGGGGUUGUAGGACUGCGAUAUCUUAACAAAAACGAACAAGAACAACUUGGGAAGGUUGGCCAAAGAAGGUGAAAGCCCUGUAUUGGUAAGUUUUUGAGCGGUAGCAGUAUCCUGAGUAGGGCGGGGCAGGUGAAACCCCGUUUGAAUCUACCGGCACCAUCCGGUAAGGCUAAAUACUCCUGAGAGACCGAUAGUGAACAAGUACCGUGAGGGAAAGGUGAAAAGUACCCUGAAUAAGGGGGUGAAAUAGAACCUGAAACCAUGCGCUUACAAGCGGUUGGAGCCCAAUAAUUGGGUGACAGCGUGCCUUUUGCAUAAUGAGCCUACGAGUUACUCCUCUCUAGCAAGGUUAAGGACUUAAGGUCCGUAGCCGGAGCGAAAGCGAGUCUGAAUAGGGCGUUUUAGUUAGAGGGGGUAGACGCGAAACCCGGUGAUCUACCCAUGACCAGGUUGAAGUUGCAGUAACAUGCAAUGGAGGACCGAACCAGUUGACGUUGAAAAGUCUUUGGAUGAGUUGUGGGUAGGGGUGAAAGGCCAAUCAAACCGGGAAAUAGCUCGUACUCCCCGAAAUGCUUUUAGGAGCAGCGUGGAGGUAAAGUCUGUUAGAGGUAGAGCUACCGAUAGGACUAGGGGGAGUCAAAUCCUACCAAAUCCUGACGAACUCCGAAUGCUAACAGAUAUACUCCGCAGUGAGGGUAAGGGUGCUAAGGUCCUUAUCCGAGAGGGAAAGAACCCAGACCUUCAGCUAAGGUCCCCAAAUCUAUACUAAGUUGAACUAAGGCGGUUCAGUUGCACAGACAGCCAGGAUGUUGGCUUGGAAGCAGCCAUUCAUUUAAAGAGUGCGUAACAGCUCACUGGUCGAGCGACAGAGCAUCGAUGAUGAUCGGGCAUUAAGUAUAGUACCGAAGCUAAGGCAGUAGUUUACUACUGGGUAGGGGAGCAUUCUAUUCCGCGAAGAAGCAGUCUGGUGAUGGAUUGUGGAGCGUAUAGAAAAGCAAAUGUAGGCAUAAGUAACGAUAAGGCGGGUGAGAAACCCGCCCACCGAUAGACUAAGGUUUCCUGAUCAACGCUAAUCGGAUCAGGGUUAGUCGGGACCUAAGGCGAAACCGAAUGGUGUAGUCGAUGGACAAUUGGUUAAUAUUCCAAUACCACCGUAUUCAGCGAUGGGGUGACGGAGUAGUGAAAGAUCCGCGAACUGACGGAAUAGUUCGUUAAAGGGUGUAGUUAUAGGCUGUGUAGGCAAAUCCGCACGGCUUGAUGAACCUGAUAGUACCACAAUGCUUCGGCAGCGUGGAUAGUGAUCCUAAUCAGACUUCCAAGAAAAACCUCUAAGCAUAUGUAUAUGGUGCCCGUACCGCAAACCGACACAGGUAGUCAAGGAGAGAAUCCUGAGGUGCUCGAGUGAUCCGUGGCUAAGGAACUAGGCAAAAUGGCCCUGUAACUUCGGGAGAAGGGGCGCUUCCUCAUGCUUGCAUGAGAAGCCGCAGUGAAUAGGCCCAGGCGACUGUUUAGCAAAAACACAUGGCUUUGCGAAAUCGAAAGAUAAAGUAUAAGGCCUGACACCUGCCCGGUGCUGGAAGGUUAAGGGGGGAUGUUAUCCGUAAGGAGAAGCAUUGAACUGAAGCCCCAGUAAACGGCGGCCGUAACUAUAACGGUCCUAAGGUAGCGAAAUUCCUUGUCGGGUAAGUUCCGACCUGCACGAAUGGUGUAACGAUCUGGGCACUGUCUCAGCCACGAGCUCGGUGAAAUUGUAGUAGCGGUGAAGAUGCCGCUUACCCGCAACGGGACGAAAAGACCCCAUGAACCUUUACUAUAGCUUCACAUUGGUAUUGGGUAAAUGAUGUGUAGGAUAGGCGGGAGACUUUGAAGCUGCAUCGCUAGGUGUGGUGGAGUCGUUGGUGAAAUACCGCCCUUUAUUUAUCUGAUGCCUAAUCCGCAAACGCGGAGACAGUGUGUGGUGGGUAGUUUGACUGGGGUGGUCGCCUCCAAAAGAGUAACGGAGGCUUUCAAAGGUACCCUCAGUACGCUUGGUAACCGUACGUAGAGCGCAAUAGCAUAAGGGUGCUUGACUGUGAGGCCUACAAGCCGAUCAGGGUCGAAAGACGGAUAUAGUGAUCCGGUGGUUCCGCAUGGAAGGGCCAUCGCUCAAAGGAUAAAAGGUACUCUGGGGAUAACAGGCUGAUCUCCCCCAAGAGCUCAUAUCGACGGGGAGGUUUGGCACCUCGAUGUCGGCUCGUCACAUCCUGGGGCUGGAGAAGGUCCCAAGGGUUGGGCUGUUCGCCCAUUAAAGUGGCACGCGAGCUGGGUUCAGAACGUCGUGAGACAGUUCGGUCUCUAUCUGUUGUGGGCGUAAGAAGUUUGAGAGGACCUGUCUUUAGUACGAGAGGACCGAGAUGGACUAACCGCUGGUGUAUCAGUUGUGCCGCCAGGUGCACCGCUGAGUAGCUACGUUGGGAAGAGAUAAGCGCUGAAAGCAUCUAAGUGCGAAACUCCCCUCAAGAUGAGACUUCUUUAUAAGGGACGUUAUAGAUGAUGACGUUGAUAGGCUGCAGGUGUAAAGGCAGGAAUGUCAAAGCCGAGCAGUACUAAUUACCCGUAAACUUUCCGUA
rnacentral:rRNA from 1 species